AUUGAACGCUGGCGGAAUGCUUUACACAUGCAAGUCGAACGGUAGAGGGGGCAACCCCUCGAGAGUGGCGAACGGGUGAGUAAUAUAUCGGAACGUGCCCAGUCGUGGGGGAUAACGUAGCGAAAGUUACGCUAAUACCGCAUACGAUCUAAGGAUGAAAGCGGGGGAUCGCAAGACCUCGCGCGAUUGGAGCGGCCGAUAUCAGAUUAGGUAGUUGGUGGGGUAAAGGCUCACCAAGCCAACGAACUGUAGCUGGUCUGAGAGGACGAACAGCCACACUAGAACUGAGACACGGUCCAGACUCCUACGGGAGGCAGCAGUGGGGAAUUUUAGACAAUGGACGCAAGUCUGAUCCAGCCAUUCCGCGUGCAGGAUGAAGGCCCUCGGGUUGUAAACUGCUUUUGUACGGAACGAAAAGGUCUCUCUUAAUACGGGGGACUCAUGACGGUACCGUAAGAAUAAGCACCGGCUAACUACGUGCCAGCCGCCGCCGUAA
rnacentral:rRNA from 1 species